AAAUGAUGCUUUGAAAAACACGUGACUUCUCGCUGGGACCUCCAUCUACUGUAAAUAACCAACAACCUGUUCAAGGAUCAAUGUGCCUCUGAGAUGAGGACAACAAGUCUCCCCUUGCAAUCAGAAUGGACCAUCACUAUGGACCUCAUCUAUUAGAUGCAGGUUGUCUAGCAAGCCUCUGGACAGGCAGCAUGGCAGAAAUCAACUCUUUCCAAAAAAAAGGCUGCUGCUGACACAGUGGAUAGAGCACACACAAGCUCCCUGUCUGACUCCUUCAGCUCCUGCAUGUCUCCUUGGCUAACAUUUCAGAGCUUCUGAUUCUUCAGACAUCAGCUUCUUGAUACUGAAGAGAUUGUUCUACCUGAUGAGCCCAGGCCUAGAAGAUGGACUGCAUCCAAGAAGCCUGGUCCAUCUAAGGCCAAGUCACAUCUUUAAGAAAUAUUUGAAAGCAUUUGUGCACAGGAUAAAGGUGCAAGGACCAAAGUCUCCUUAGACUUUCCAGCAUACAGAGGGUCUGACAGACUCAGGUCAAAGGUUACGUCUGAAGCCUAGAUUAUGAAGAAGGCCCCACUCCACAGUAGAAGCCUGUGGCUGAUGCUGUUGCAACCAGGACUAUGAUUGUGAAACUUUUGUCUGUUCAGGAUAGCAGGUUCAGGAAUCUUGUGCCCAGGUAUCCACAGGCCUUUUUUCAUACAUUUCUUGGUAUAAUUUUGCAAGUCCUGACUUUGGACAUGUCGGGUGCUGAUGGUAU
ensembl:lncRNA